rnacentral:rRNA from 1 species
GACGAACGCUGGCGGCGUGCCUAAUACAUGCAAGUCGAACGAACCGCGACUAAGUGCUUGCACUAAGUCAAGGUGAGUGGCGAACGGGUGAGUAACACGUGGGUAACCUACCUCAUAGUGGGGGAUAACAGUCGGAAACGACUGCUAAUACCGCAUAGGACAUAGGAUCACAUGAUCCAGUGAGGAAAGGUGGCGCAAGCUAUCGCUAAGAGAUGGACCCGCGGUGCAUUAGCUAGUUGGUAGGGUAAAGGCCUACCAAGGCGAUGAUGCAUAGCCGACCUGAGAGGGUGAUCGGCCACAUUGGGGCUGAGACACGGCCCAAACUCCUACGGGAGGCAGCAGUAGGGAAUCUUCCGCAAUGGACGCAAGUCUGACGGAGCAACGCCGCGUGAGUGAAGAAGGUCUUCGGAUCGUAAAGCUCUGUUGUUAGAGAAGAACAGCGCAUAGAGUAACUGCUAUGCGUGUGACGGUAUCUAACCAGAAAGCCACGGCUAACUACGUG